CCGCGGCUUCGGGUUGUGGCUCCUGUAGGCGGUGCCGCUCCUCGGAGCGUCUCCAGCUCCGGGUUUCCGCACGUUUGUUAGCCUCUAAAGAAAGUAUGGAGUCCGCGGCACGACAUCCAGGUGUGUUGUCAGAACUCGUGCUCUCUAAAGCCCAUCCUCUGUGUUUAUGGUGCCUUUCUUCUUCCUGAAGUCAAAUUAAACAGAUGCUGUGGUAGUUGAAAUAUCACGGGAGAGCGUGGAUGGCUUUUAAAUGUGAAGCGAUAGCAGUCGUAGAAUGGUUAUUCAUUAGAGUGGUCAACGUGAGUUAGGAAGGGACAGCCUAAGGAAGGAUAGGAGUAAAAGGUGCUUGGAGUGUGGACUCGAAUGGUGGUGGCAUAACGUGGAAUGCUUUGAAUCAUCAUGGAUAGUUUCAGUGGUUUUGGGUUCUUUUUUAGGCUUAGGAUGAAAUAUGAGGACGGAGUUUUUGGGAGACACGCAGAGAUUUCAAACAAAACUCUUUAGGAAAUAGGGUGAAUUGUCAGCAAGGAGGACAGGACUUUGUUCUUUAUUUCACAUUUGGCUACCCAUGGAAAUAGAAAAACAGGGCAACGUUCAGGGGGUUGUGGAAAUUCAUUGAAAAGCUGGACUUAGGAUGAUAAUAAAGUCGAAAUAAAAACCCCUUUCCACCAUUUCCAAUGAGUUUUUUAGAAGUUCACAUGUGAACAUUCAGACUGGUCAUUUGAACAAUAUCGUCAGCUCAAAUGAGUUUACAAGAAUUAAAUAGACCUUUGCUAGCUGCGGUGUCUUAGAGCAGAAGAGUUGAGGUUUAUCCCAUCAUCCUCCACUUCAAAUCAAUUAAAAGCAGUGAAAGAUGAGAGUUUGGAUAGGAUGGAUGAAUGGAUUGAUAGGGAGCCUGACACUAUCCUGCUCCCACCAGUUUUAGAAAUCUAUCUUUAGUAUCUUCCUUCACAGCUUACUCUUUAUGUGAGUAGUACUUACUGUCACUGUAAGCCUUUACUGUCUGCUAAUGUUUGUGACACAUUCU
ensembl:lncRNA